CCCCCUUUCCUGAUAUCCCCCUGUUCUCCCCAUUUCCCUCCUGCCGUCAGACCCUCUGCUCCCAAGCUGCACAGAACCUGUCCCUCCUCCUCAGUAGCGCCAAGCCCAUCACCAUUCAUUGGUUGCUGCAAGUGCAAGUGCCAAAAGCAUUCACUCACCAACAACCAUUUUGAGUUUUGAGAAAUGAGAGACUUACUUGUAGAAAAGAGACUUACUUGCGGACCACUAUGACUCAAGAUAGGCUAAAUGGAUUAGCAAUCUUAUGCAUUGAAAAUGAUGAGAUUGAAAACUUGGACUAUGAUGAUAUAAUUGAUGAUUUUGCUUCAAAAAAUCCUAGAAGACAAUUUCUUAAAGGUUGAAAUUUCAAGGAGCUUUCCUAGGAAUGGUUGUAUAUGAUUGUAUUUUUGAUUGUCGGGGUUUAGGUACUAUGUCCCCCCCGUUGUAUAUUUUCUCAAGUAAUAUAAUUUGGGCGUGAGGGCCUAGCCCCCCAGCUUCGACUGGGUUCCAGCCCUCGUUAAAUAU